rnacentral:lncRNA from 1 species
UGACAUCACCUUCAACAUCACCUGUACUAAACAGAUUAUCUCCAAUAUACAUCCUCUUCGACAUCAUUUGUCAUCUGUUUAUAGCAUAGCUACUUUAGCUACAACUACUUUAUCCACUUAUCCCCCUUUUUAGCCAAAAGAGACCAAAGAGAUAAAAUAAAUGUCUAUUAGUCAAACAGAAUGUCACACAGAAUGUCAAAGCAUAUUGUUAGGUGUUAC